rnacentral:rRNA from 1 species
UACGUAGGGUGCGAGCGUUAAUCGGAAUUACUGGGCGUAAAGCGUGCGUAGGCGGUCCGCGAAGUCUGAUGUGAAAGCCCCGGGCUCAACCUGGGAACUGCAUUGGAAACUAACGGGCUCGAGUGUGGCAGAGGGGGUGGAAUUCCACGUGUAGCAGUGAAAUGCGUAGAGAUGUGGAGGAACACCGAUGGCGAAGGCAGCCCCCUGGGCUAACACUGACGCUCAGGCACGAAAAGCGUGGGGGAGCAAACAGG